rnacentral:lncRNA from 1 species
UUGAAAUUGAAUAAUUCUGUAUUUAAGGUGGUACCUAACACUACAGGGAGAUAACUCUGUAAAAUCAGCUAAACGUUUUAAUUACGUUGUGUUGUUAAGGGAAUAUUAAGCUUCUCAAUGAUCAAAAUAAGUGUUUGUCAAACUGCUAUAUAACCAGUGUAAUUUUUCUGAUAAAACGGUUGGUUCAAAUUUUUUAAAAUUUUUAUAUUUUUGUAAAAGGGUCAAAGUUAAUACUUUGUCAAAAUUUUAAGAAAAUUAAACGAGCCAAAUUAAUUCUAGUUAAAGUGUUGGGUACCACCUUAAUUGUCUGUUUCAAUCUUAUUUAAGCAUUCUCGUCCCUGGUGACACUUGCUAGCGGAAGGAACAUCAGAUUUCUUAAAUUUACAUGUUUGUUCAUGCAUUUGCAUCCCAUGCUUGUUUUGCGGCAGCAUGCAAUGCAAUUCCUUUUGUUUUACAAAGUGCAUUUUCAAUUUUGUAUGUCAAAAGUUCUAUUGCACUCAUAACAUAACAA